CAAUAGCGUAUAUUAAAGUUGUUGCGGUUAAAAAGCUCGUAGUUGGAUUUCUGCCGAGGACGACCGGUCCGCCCUCUGGGUGUGUAUCUGGCUCGGCCUGGGCAUCUUCUUGGAGAACGUGGCUGCACUUGAUUGUGUGGUGCGGUAUCCAGGACUUUUACUUUGAGGAAAUUAGAGUGUUUCAAGCAGGCACACGCCUUGAAUACAUUAGCAUGGAAUAAUACUAUAGGAUCUUGGUUCUAUUUUGUUGGUUUCUAGAAUUGAGAUAAUGAUUAAUAGGGACAAUUGGGGGCAUUCGUAUCAACACGUCAGAGGUGGAAUUCUUGGAUUGUGUUGCGACGAACUACUGCGAAAGCAUUUGCCAAGGAUGUUUUCAUUGAUCAAGAACGAAAGUUAGGGGAUCGAAGACGAUCAGAUACCGU
rnacentral:rRNA from 1 species